GGCCAGGAGCGAGGCGGCCGUGCGCAGGCGGACCCCGGCGCGCAGCAAGCCCCAGCCCAGCCAGAAGCAGGCGGCCAGGAGGAGGCAGCAGCAGCACAGCGAGGAGCCCGGGAUCGCCGGCCAGCUCCCACCUGGGAUGGGGGUCCCUUCGCCUGGAGCGGCGGCGGCCGCCUCUUCGCCUUCCUCGUCCCCGGCGCUGCGCACCAGGCGGAUCCCGAGCGCCCAGAGCAGCAGAGCCAGCAAGCCUGCGCCUAGAGCCCAAGAAAGUUUGCAGCGCUUCCAAACGCUGGCGAAAGCCUCUUCGGCGCUCGAAUCUCCGGUCCCGUUUUGGCGGUGGCGGCGGCUCUCCACUUCCUCCGGCCCAACCGAAGAGCAGCAACCGUUGCAACCGGCUUCUAAGGCUGCCUCUGUUGAUACCGUCGCGGCUGCAGCCGCCGCCCCCUCGGAGUUUUUCUCCUCGCUCCAGCUGUCUUUGCUUCCGACCCUGCUCGCACAGUCGCUGCUCACAGCCAUAGCGAGAGGGCUCACCCCCCCGUGUCACCAGGGGGGGAGGAAACGCAACUCUCCAGAUUGAACCCAACCCCCUCUUCUCUCCCCCACCCCACCAAAAAAAUCCAACUCUCUUGCAGGCGCGCAGAAUGAUACUAAUUCCUUAAAACAGCGCCCUUGCAGAGGAGGGAAUUGCAAAAAAGCCCCCCCCCAAAUAUUUUUUUUUUUAAAAAAUCCAAACUGAACCAGUAGGCUUAAGGGCUGCGUGCAAAAGAGGCGAUGUUUUUUUAAAAAGUGAGAAUAAUAGCAAUUCAGGAGGAGUUGAAAACAAAGGGUUAAUACGCAUCGAAGGGUUUGAGUCUUCGUCUUACUCUCUCCGCCAGUUUUUUUUUUAAAUGAAAUCAAAGACCGUAAGUAUUGUAAGAGACCGGCCAGACACGGGGCUUUGUACAUCCGGAGAGUCGGCUGGUGGCGAUGCUCUUGUUAGGCCAUGGGUCCUCCGGGUCCUCCUCGCCUCUCGGCCCGGGGAGGAGGCGCAGGGCUGGCGGGCCGGAGCAGCCUGCGGGCCGACAGCGCCUGGGAAUCCCUUCCCACUCUCGCCGCUUUUUUGCCCUCCUCCUCCUCCGCUUCCUUGGUGGUGCCGCUGCUGCUGCCGUCGCUCUUGCUCCGCGCGCCUCUCUCACUCUGCCUGCCCGCUCGGGCGAUCCUUCCCAGCGGGAUCCCGGCCAGAAGCCACCGAUCGCCGCCGUGCCCCAUAGCUGGGGGCCGGAAGGCUGCCGCUCAUCGCAGGGCAGAAGGUGGGAAGUAAUCGAUCAAAAGGCGCAGAGCGGGAAAGUUGCUAAGUUUUGUUUGUUUUGGUGGUGGGGGGGGGAGGGUUUGCACGGGAGAGUAACCCGAAUGUUCUUCCUCUCGCGGCUUUUGUGUUGCCUUUGCGAAACGGAAAGCUCCUGCUGAAAGCGGCCACAAAGGAACCGAUCGGGCGGAGGUAGAAUUUACUAUCCGUCCCCCCCCCCUUAAAGGAGAGGGUCGAUUGAAAGAAGGGGCUUAGGCAGAGAAGCCUUUACUCCCCCCCCGUGUGUGUGUGUGUGUAAGCGGGCAAGCCUCCACCAACUCCUGUUGAGGAGUGAGUGGUUGGGGAGGACGGGGAGAGAAGGUCGGCUUGGGCUUGCCGUUCAGUCCUGCUCUGCUCUACACACCGGGUGGGUAGGUGGGGAACUACAGGAGAGCUGGAAAAGAGAGCGAGAAGCGAUAGGAUCAGAUAGCACCUGGAUUUCCCGUUGGUUGGCACCUCCGUCGCUGGCUGCAAGCGCCUGGCGGUGAUGAGGUUAAAAGCAGGUCAAAUUCAAUUACCGUAAUCCUAAGCACUCCUCCUACUCGGAAGUAGGGCCCAACGUCUUCAAUAGGACUUGCUUUUUAAUAACUAUGCACAGAAUUGGAGCUUUACAGCACGUGCACAACCUGUGAACACUUACCUGAGGACUGGUGCUAAGGAGGCUAUGAAAAUCCUGAAUUGGUAUCUGGACUCAAUGAGUGACUGGUCAUGAGCGAACAAGCUGAAGAGUAACCCAGAAGGUGCACUGUUUGUCCACAUUCUAUUACUGGCACACCUUUACUAUCAGCAGUUUGACCAUUAUUAAUGUUUCCUGACAUCACAACAGUUGAGCUGGGACCCUCUUUGGAAAACGCAUACCACUCUUGGACCAGUCACGCAGCACCUUGCUUACCUUGUCUGGAGCACACCCGGUGAGAGUGUUGACAAAAGAACCCAUUUCAGCCAAUCUCCUUAAACUGCUGGCUAUCUAACCAAGAAGUCCAAAGCACUGGGGAGCAUCUAGGGUUUAAAUGAUGAGGGUCAGUAUCAACGUCUAAAUCCAAAUUUCAAAAUGUGACAUUCUGAGAUCUCCAUGUUUAUAUAAAAUAA